rnacentral:rRNA from 1 species
UACAGAGGGUGCGAGCGUUAAUCGGAAUUACUGGGCGUAAAGCGCGCGUAGGCGGCUUUGUAAGUCGGAUGUGAAAUCCCCGGGCUUAACCUGGGAACUGCAUUCGAGACUGCAUAGCUAGAGUAUGGGAGAGGGAAGUGGAAUUUCAGGUGUAGCGGUGAAAUGCGUAGAUAUCUGAAGGAACAUCAGUGGCGAAAGCGACUUCCCGGACCAAUACUGACGCUCAUGUGCGAAAGCGUGGGGAGCAAACAGG